rnacentral:tRNA from 1 species
GCAUCGGUGGUUGAGUGGUAGAAUUCUCGCCUGCCACGCGGGAGGCCCGGGUUCGAGUCCCGGCUGAUGCA